ensembl:lncRNA
GUCCUUUGUGCGCAGAGCAGACGGGGACAUCCCUGCUCGCUGUGGGGCUCCACGGGGCCUCAUGUUGGGAUGGCUGUGUGCCCCCCAGGACCCCCUGGCAGCUCACAGCCCACCUACAGGAGAGCUGGGGGGAACUUGUUACAAGGGCAGGUAGCGACUGGACGAGGGGAAACGGCUUUGAAGUGGGAGAGUGUAGGUUGAGAGCAGCGACUGGGAAGAGAUUCCUGGACAGGUUCCCCAGCGAGUUUGUGACUGUCCCCUCCCUGGAGGCCUUCAAGGCCAGGCUGGAUGGGGCUGUGAGCAGCCUGGUCUCGAGGGAGGUGUCCCUACCUGCAGCAGGGGGUUGGAACGAGGUGAUCUCAGAGGCCCCUUCCGAAACAAACCAUUCUGCCAAUCUAUGAGACUAUAUACAGUUUUUAUUCGAGUUACAAAAAUAAACUGUACUACUAUGUGACUGAAUAUGGCUUUCAGUUAAGUAUACAUCAUUUCAGCCACAGGAGUCUAUGCAACGAUGUACAGUUUUUCUCUUAAUUACAAAACUAAACUGUACAUGAAACAGAACAUUACAAAUAUGGCACAAACGAGCCAUUUAAAUUUCUGAUAACGCUUAGGACUGUGACUGUUUUUGCUGUUUGGUUAUGAAUACAUCAUUUCUGCCAUGGCAGACAUUUUCUUUGGUAUAUGCAGAUGGUGUUCCAGGUACCCUGCCAGGUCUUCCACAGUCACGUCACUGACAUAAGCGUGAGCCUCCACAGAACGGGAUGCGGGAGGGCUGCACAGGGCUGUUUCACAGAUGGAUCUGUGAAGCGUGGAUAAGGAAAGGAAAAGUGAGGUUUGGCUGUUGUGUGAGUCAGAGUGAGACGAUGAGGGCAGAGCGAGGCAGUUCUCCCGUGACUUCCCCACAGGCCCCGCAGCGGUGGUUCAGCAGAGGUUCAGCUGUGGCUCUUCUGCCAUGGCUGGCCUCAAAGCGAGGACUGUGUCUGUCCUCUGUGCCGUGUUCUGCUGUAGCACAAACACUGGAACGGACGUGAGUCUUUGGUGUGUGUGACCGGGUUUUGUGUUUUGUGCCGCAGUGCGUAAACGUGGGAGGAUACAGGACAGGAGACCUGGAACGUCCGUGCCGUGAGAGACCGGCCGGUCCUCCUGCAGUCCUCUCACACCUGCAGGGUCAGAACAGGUGAACAGACUGAGACGGCUGUUGGUGUGCAGUCCCUGACAGGAGCAGCGGAAGAGCCUUAAGGAAGCGGGGCUCUCCCAGAAGAGAGAGGCACGCAAACACUGCUGCUGUAAAGCUUCAGGUGAUGGGCUGCGACAAUUGCGUGUGCAGCCCUGAGCUCCUCUGCACUCAGCGGUGAGAAACGGG